rnacentral:rRNA from 1 species
UGGGGAAUAUUGCACAAUGGGGGAAACCCUGAUGCAGCGACGCCGCGUGAGUGAGGAAGUAUUUCGGUAUGUAAAGCUCUAUCAGCAGGGAAGAAAGUGACGGUACCUGACUAAGAAGCCCCGGCUAACUACGUGCCAGCAGCCGCGGUAAUACGUAGGGGGCAAGCGUUAUCCGGAUUUACUGGGUGUAAAGGGAGCGUAGACGGAGGAGCAAGUCUGAAGUGAAAGCCCGUGGCUCAACUGCGGGAUUGCUUUGGAAACUGUUGGUCUUGAGUACCGGAGGGGUAAGCGGAAUUCCUAGUGUAGCGGUGAAAUGCGUAGAUAUUAGGAGGAACACCAGUGGCGAAGGCGGCUUACUGGACGGUAACUGACGUUGAGGCUCGAAAGCGUGGGGAGCAAACAGGAUUAGAUACC